AACCCCCUGAGCUGCAGGCUAUGGGAAACAUCGGCACAGGUAGGCGAGCAGCCCCAGCACCACCUGGAGAGAAAGGCGCCACCAGGACCAGAGCUGGAGGCUUGUCUGUGUCACUACACAUCCUGGACAUCUGCAGAGCCAGCUCUGGUCCACGUGACAAUCCUCCGACCGCUGCCAGCAGAGACCCCUCUGUCCCUGGAGCCACACUCUCAGCUGAGACCCUCCAUCUACCAACGAGGCCCGUGUCGAUCUUCAGGCCACACUUACCCCCAGAUGGCCAGCAGUCUCCAUCUGGAUUUCCAGCAGCCAGUGUCAGGCCAGAGGCUCCAACACGCCCGACACAGAGCCCUGGUGCUCCGCCACCUGCUGCCAUCCUAGGUGCUGGCAGCUGCCUCCCUCCAGUGGAUCGGUUGAUGCAGAGCUCUAGACCCUUCUCUUUCCAUCACUGUGUACAAGAGAUUUGUCAGCCGAUCCUACCAGCUCUGCCUCCAAAACACAACCAGAAUCCAGCCACAUUUUAUCACGCCACCCCCGCCCACUCUCGCAGAGGCUGA
rnacentral:lncRNA from 1 species